rnacentral:rRNA from 1 species
GAUGAACGCUGGCGGCGUGCCUAAUACAUGCAAGUCGAGCGAACGGACGAGAAGCUUGCUUCUCUGAUGUUAGCGGCGGACGGGUGAGUAACACGUGGAUAACCUACCUAUAAGACUGGGAUAACUUCGGGAAACCGUAGCUAAUACCGGAUAAUAUUUUGAACCGCAUGGUUCAAAAGUGAAAGACGGUCUUGCUGUCACUUAUAGAUGGAUCCGCGCUGCAUUAGCUAGUUGGUAAGGUAACGGCUUACCAAGGCAACGAUGCAUAGCCGACCUGAGAGGGUAAUCGGCCACCUUGGAACUGAGACCCGGGCCAGACUCCUACGGGAGGCAGCAGUAGGGAAGCUUCCGCAAGGGGCGAAAGCCUGACGGAGCAACGCCGCGUGAGUGAUGAAGGUCUUCGGAUCGUAAAACUCUGUUAUUAGGGAAGAACAUAUGUGUAAGUAACUGUGCACAUCUUGACGGUACCUAAUCAGAAAGCCACGGCUAACUACGU